GAUGAAGAACGUAGCGAAAUGCGAUAAGUAAUGUGAAUUGCAGAAUUCAGUGAAUCAUCGAAUCUUUGAACGCACAUUGCGCCCGCUGGUAUUCCGGCGGGCAUGCCUGUUCGAGCGUCAUUUCAACCCUCAAGCUCUCCGGAGUUUGGUGUUGGGGCGCCUGGGGCUUUUCGACCUCAGGGCCCUCAAGUCCAUCGGCGGGACCGCCAGGACACUGAGCGCAGUAGUAUUAUUUCGCUCGGUAGGAUCUUCCACGGCGGGUCGAUCUGGCCGCUAAACCCCCCAAUUCUCACCAAAGGUUGACCUCGGAUCAGGUAGGAAUACCCGCUGAACUUAAGCAUAUCAAUAAGCGGAGG
rnacentral:misc_RNA from 1 species